AGAAAGGCAGGAUCAGGCAUCAUAGCUGUGAGAUUGCUAUGAACUCGGGGCGGAUUUCUCCCUCAGUACUAGCCAAUCAUAAUAAUCGGUCAGCGCUUUAGCCAAUGGUAACCACCGGUCAGCUCUGUGAGAGCUCCGUGUCACCUCAUCAGUACUAACUAGUGCUGGGUCCUGGAUAACAGGUCUAUUCCCUGUAGGACUAACAGUGCCCCUGGUUGUUUGUCAGUUACAGAUUUAAAGCAUUACAGUUACUCGCAAUCUUAGUUUUUAUGUUGUUCGUUUCAGUAACUUUUCUGUUUAAUUAUCGAAAAGUUGAGCCCUGUUCAACAUUCAAUGCAGAAAUGAUACAUAUAUUUAGAAGUCUCAGGGAAAUAUCAGAAAAAAUGUAAAAGUUGUAAAGAUUUUAGGGGAAAGGAGUUUUGGAAUGUUUUUAUUUUUUCAAAAAUGAAUUAAUUUGACCAUUUUUGGGGCAGUGUUUCUAAAAUAAGAAAAAAUAAUGUAAUGAAUUUAUUUGGUCGGAUGAUCAUUCUGUUUUGGAUGUUUUGAGGGCGUUCCAUUGGUGCUCAUAGGGUUUAUUUUUUCUUUUGUUUGUUUUUUUUAUACAGAAUGUUUUCCUCAGUUGCUCAUUGUCAUAUAUCAAGAACAGUGAGGCUAAGUCCUUGUGAUAUCUUAUAUUGAAUGUUUGAUAUUGAGAGUUGUUUAAAAAUCUAUUUUGUACAAAUUUGUUUUGUUUACAUGUUUAGAUGAAUGUUGUUGGGUUUUUUCAGUAUUGUGGUAUUUUGAUCUUUUUUAAGAUUUUGUUGACCUCUCUAUUGCUUUUCAUGUUCUGUCACAUGCAUGUUCUAAACAAAAAUUGAAUGGCAGAAAAAAAAAUUAUCAAAAAAUGACAAGCUCUUUAAAUGUGAGAGUUGUAGCCAAACCCUCAUUUACAUGUAACUAUUUCUGAUGUUGUCAUGCGCUGUAGAAAAGUUAACAAUGGUGUCGAAAUGCUUGAGUUUAAUUUUUGUGUAUUAGACAGUUAAGUCAGUGCCUUUCUGUAUUUAUCAGCAUUGGUAACCCUUCACAAGGGGCCAUGUGUAGGGCCUCUGGUAGCCUACCAUUUUAACUCGUUAUUCCUGCUCUCAUAUCACUAACAGUACCCAUAAUGAUACUUUCUACAGAAGGAGGACACAUUUCAGAAAUACACCUUAAAAAUGCAAUUUGAUGCUAGAUAAGAUACUGUAGGGUAUUAAUUCAGAAAGCCUGUGAGUGCACAAUCUCCAAAUACAGGCUGUGUGUUUGCCUUCUAAUCAAUAACUUCUCAUUACCAUUAUUACCCAAGGAGGAAAUAUUCAAUGCACACUCAGUGUAAAACUUUCACAAAUGGCCGGUGAACCUUAAGAUGGGAACAAACUGGGUUCUAAUUUUUGUGAAACCCAGUUUGAGAUUAUUCUCAUUGAAUGAAUGGAAACAUAAGCUCCGUCUUCUUUUCUUCGAAACCAAAACUUAUGGUGCUCUUACAAUCUAUACAAAUCCAAUAAGAGGAAAGGUCAAUAGAUAGAACAUUCAAAUUUAUGUGAAACAAAAUGGCAGAAUAUGUGUCAAUUCAACAAGCCAUGGACCAAAGAUGACAAAUUUAUUGUAAAUUGGUGUUUUGUCGAGUUGGACAGAACAGAGGUUUUCUCUAGGGGGUCAAGUGCCAAGGUCACCUUGUUUCAUGCCCUGAUGCUGUAAUGGUCAAUCCUAGCUCCCAAAUGACAGUAAAUCUAAAUCUCGUUUACUGUCACCACCCAGAUGGGCUAUAGUAACAAGAGUCCAGGUCCUCAGUAAUGUAAACCUCUUUCUCUGAUCACCAUUCUGAUGGUCUCUAGUUUCAAGUGUACAUACGUUGUAUUAUGUAUUUAUUUCGAACAUCUUUAGUUGUAACAGUUUUCUCAGUGAAAAUGUGCAAUAUAUUUAAUGACUAAGUCAUUCGUGUUACAAGAAUAGGCCUUCUAGCUUCACAUUCCAACGGUAAGACCAAUGAAUGAACAAGCAGAAUGCAGGCAUAACAGGAUCUGACGUCAUCCUGACACACUGUAGACACCGCAGUUAUCUCCCCUGGCUAUUUAUCAGUGCUAUAAUAUGAUAAUGAUACUUGUGUCAGUAAUGAACUAUUGUAAUGAUUCACAACUAAACAUAAAACGGGGUUUACAGUGUGUUAAGAUUAGAAUGAAUAAAUUAUAGAUAAAGUAAAUGAAACAGAAUGUAUUAUGAUGUAUAAUGAAAAGUUCUUUUUUAUGUGAUGAAUGAAUGAAUUUUGGAGAAAAUUAAAAUAUGACGCACAUUAA
rnacentral:misc_RNA from 1 species